GCGGCUGCACCACUGGGACACCCUGAUCCAACAUCGAGGUCGUAAACCCAUUUGUCGAUAGGGGCUCUUGAAAUGGAUUGCGCUGUUAUCCCUAGGGUAACUUGGUUCGUUGCUCAACAUGUUGGGUCAAUUUAUGUCAGUUUGUUGGUGCUUAAAGUUGUAGUUUACAGCUCAGGAAUUAUUCCGUUCAACGUGGAGGUUAAUUUUUGCUCCGCGGUCACCCCAACCUAAAACUAAUAGUCAUGUUGGCCUGUAUAAUAAUUAUGUCUCUGAAGAAUAAUAAGUGUGGGCCAGUGCUAUAAUUGUUUAAAGCUCCAUAGGGUCUUCUCGUCUUAUAUAAGUAUCCCCGCUUCUUCACGGGGAGAUCAGUUUCAUUGAUUAAAAAAAGGAGACAGUAUAACCCUCGUGGUGCCAUUCAUACUAGUCCUCAUUUAAAGAACAAGUGAUUACGCUACCUUCGCACGGUUAGGAUACCGCGGCCGUUGAACUUAGUCACUGGGCAGGCUGGACCUCUUAUAUAUGUCAAGAGGCGAUGUUUUUGGUAAACAGGCGAGGUUAAUAUUUGCCGAGUUCCUUCUUUUUCUUUAAAUCUUUCUUGUGAUGUGCUAGUGUCAGGUUAACAUUAGUUUAAAACAGGGUUUUCUGGAAAAGUUACUGUUUUGUGUUCAUUAAUGAAUAAUUAGCAGUGGUUAGUCCUUUCUGGUUUACACUUACAUCUAAGAGAAGGGCUGUCUUCUUAUUACUAGUUCUAACAUAAAUGCUUCUAUAGGUUUAUAGAAUAACUUAAUACGAAUAAAGGG
rnacentral:rRNA from 1 species